ACUUCACACAGUCAGGAAGGAGAGAUCCUGUCUGGGGUGAGACACAGUCUGGGUAAAUAUAUCGUUCGUGGAAUAUUGAUGGCAACGUGGAAAUUCGGCGCAGAGGCAGCUGGAACAACUUCAAGCACAAGGGCCACAAAAGCUGACAGAUCAGCCAGGGAAGCCUUCACCUAUUGAGCUAAUGGGGAAAAGUAAUCUGUCUCCACAGCAACAACCAGCCCCCUUGACUGACAAUGGAGAGUGAGACAGAGUCUAGUCUCUUUCAUUGGGACAGAAGACAUGAAAGUUUGAAAACACGUACUAACAGAUUUAAGAACCGUUUCUUCCCCGCUGCUUUCAGACCAAUGAUGGACAUCUCACAUAUUAGAGUUGAUCUUUCUCUGCACCUUCUCUGUAGCAGUAACACUAUGUUCUGUAUUCUGUUCUAUUACCCUG